UCUGUCUCCUGAUGCUGGGAUUAAAGGCAUGCACACCCAAGGGAAAGAGGGAUGGAACUCUAUUUUACUGGGGAUGGGACGCAGUGCUGAUAAUCCUGUGUAUAUAUGUCUCCAGAUCCCAAGCAGCCAGAGGAAAAGAAAAAGAGAAGGAUGGAACUACAGACUCUGGGAUCAAGUUAGAACCUGUACCAGGACUGCCUGGAGGUCAGUUCAUGUCAGAGACUCAUUCAGCUGGGGUUUCUGUUAGACGAUAGCAGGCGUGCCUCUGUGGCCUGUGUGGCAGGCCAAGAUGUCUGUGCUAGAGACAUCUGCACGUGGUACUGAUUGUCCUCCCUUGUCUCCAGCUCUGCCUCCACCUCCUGCCGCAGAAGAG
rnacentral:lncRNA from 1 species